AUUUGAAAGAUCAAUCCCUAAUGUCUGAGUAAUACCUACUUAAAUAUAUCAAUCAUACCAAGUACAAAUCAUAAUACAUAUUUCCCUCUAUAUGUGCUUAUUUUGAAUAAAACCGACAUGAAAAGAGACGGUAGACAACAAGAUGAAAUUCCAAUUAGUGUUCCAGAUUUCUCGAUAUGGGACGUCGGUUUUGAUCAAAUUUUAUUUCACAAUGAUCCAACCAAUCUCGAAGUAAAAAACCAUAAAGGAAAUAAAAUUGCAGGUAAAUUACAAGAGAUGGAAGGCGCAAGAAUCAGUGAGCGGUUGGAUAAGAAAAUAGUGCACAGAGAAAUUGAGAGGCAAAGGAGAAAAGAAAUGGCCGACCUUCACGCCUCUCUCCGUUCAGUCCUCCCUUCCAAGUGUAUCAAGGGCACGCGGUCGGCAUCAGAUCAAAUUCAUGAGGCUACAAAGUAUAUAAGGUAUAUGCAGAAUAAAGUUAGACAGCUGGAAAUGAAGAGGGAGUUCUAGCAAGGCUUUGCCUAUUACAGUAAGGGUUCAGCGAUGCACGGCCGGCGUCGAGGUGUUGAUCUUGGCGGAAGGGCGAAGCCUUCACCUAUCGAGAAUCCUGGAGCUGCUGCUCGAUGAAGGCCUCAAUGUUGUCCACUGUAAUUGCACCAAAUUUGAUGGAAGGUUGCAUUGCACCAUCCAAUCUGAGGAUGUAACUAGUCCGAGUAUCGAUCUCCAGAUGCUGCAAGUAAAGCUGACGAGUAAUAUUGACAAAUUUAGUGAUCAAGUAUGAUGCAAGAUUCUUGCAUCAUUUUUAUGAGCUGUUGAAAGAGUUAUUCGAGUAAGUUUGCAUAAGUGGGAUCAGCAUUGAUUUGGCAUUGUUUUUCUUGCUCAUGGAGACGAUAGUGGUUUGAUCUGUUCAUUUGUUAUUGAUUAACAAAUCAUGUCAUACAUUAGGGUUACCUAUUUUGUUAUGGGAUCAUCAAUGCAUACUGGUGUUCUGGGCCUUAAACUUUGAUCUAGAAAUUAACUUGUUAGGCUUUAAAAGUUAAAGAUUUAUUUUUCUUUA